AAACAAGCGUGCCGGUACAUUUAUAAUUCGAAAAGUAAACUCAAACCACAUCUACUUUGCAAAAAAAAAAAUAAAAAAAACUUAAAUAAAUGUUUAUGUUUAACAUGCGGUAUUUGCUGCACGUAUUCGUUGAAGGAAUUCUCUCGAAAUUUACAGACAGACAAUCAAGCGUCUUUGGAUUUCUUGUAUAAAUUCGAUAAAUUUAAAUAAUUUUGAAAAACGAAGCCUUGAAAUAAAUAAUCCAAUGUUAAAUUUAAAACCCCAUUAUUAUAUUCUUAUGAAAUUUUAAUCAGUUCUGAACAAUGUCGCCUGAUGUGGGGAUUUGUCCUCAACUUAAAAAAAAAAUACAUCAUCAAAUUUGCAAAAUUUUUUAACGAAGUUCGUGAGCAAAUAUGUGUGUGUUUGUGUGUUGAAUGCAGCAAAUAAACUGCAUUCUAAUAUCGUUCUAAAAGAACGAUAUUAUGUAAUAUUGCGCCAUCUAUGUUUCAUUAACAACAUCAUUAUUGAAGAUAGCUAAGACAUGACUCACACACUGCGUCAUCUGGUAGUCAGUAUAAAAUUAAAAGGUGCCUUUGAUAAGCGGAAAAUACACAAUCACGUAUAUUAUUACAACCCUCUGUGUUGUAUUUUUUCACUGGGAAUUGGAAUUUUUCCUAAGGCUCAACAAAAUUUCCAAUAGCUAUUUUUUUAUAUGAACUAAGCAUAUGAACUGAAAGGUGGGGUAUCUCAGCAAAAUCAUCCCGAUAAGAAAUGUACGUGUUUGUGUGUCGAUUCCAGCAAAUUUUUGCUGAGCUUGCUGGGUUUAGCAAAAAUUUGCAUUAAAAAAUGGAAAUGACGAAACAAGGAGUGGAAAUGAAGAUGCUGUUAUCUCGAUGAUGUUUUAUGUUUUUCGAGGUGUAUGAGACAUUUGUACAUAGAAUUUUUUUUAUUUCAAAAUAGCAAAUAUGAGUAAUAUUUGCAAUUUUUGAAAUUUGUUAUGAAUAUAUGUACAUAAAUGAUUUUUGGAUGUAAAACAAAAUUUUAGUUUAUAUCCACAUUUUUACAAAAUACCAGAGUAUUUAUCCAAUUGUCCCAAUUUAUCGGUGGGUAUUUGCCCUUUUCCUACGAUUUGUAGACAAACGGACAUUGCUUGAUUUAGCAAAUCAACUCCGCUAUCUAUAAGUAUCCAAUAUAUACAUAUGUAUAAACUUUAUAGGUAUAUAGGAAAAUUUACAAUAAAAAUAUGAAAUGAA